CACGUAGGGUGCGAGCGUGUCCGGAAUUAUUGGGCGUAAAGAGCUCGUAGGCGGUGUGUCGCGUCGGCCGUGAAAACCUGCAGCUUAACUGUGGGCGUGCGGUCGAUACGGGCAUCACUGGAGUUCGGCAGGGGAGACUGGAAUUCCUGGUGUAGCGGUGAAAUGCGCAGAUAUCAGGAGGAACACCAGUGGCGAAGGCGGCCACCUGGACCGGUUCUGACGCUGAUGCGCGAAAAGCUAGGGGGAGCGAACAGGG
rnacentral:rRNA from 1 species